CUCAGCGCCUGCCCGUCGAGCGCACGCGGCUUUGCCGGAAGCCCUCCUGCUCCCGGCGAGCCAGGCCCCGACUAGGCCCUACUGCCCGGCUCAGCCCUUUGCCCUGGACACCAGGAAACAGAAGCCCAAGGAGCCCGCGUCCCCACCCCCUGCUACCUGCCGGCGUGACAGCGAUUCGGUGGCCCCCCGAACCCCACCUUGAGGAAGACGCGGCGCAGUCCUGCUUCCACGACGGAGCCGGAAGGACGCAAGGACCGCGGCAGGGCGGAGUUUCUGCGUCCGGCGUCCGGGGGCGGGGCCGCGACGGCGCAUUGUGACGCGCCAGAGCUGAGCCGCCGGUUGGCCGGCUGGGCGCGGAGCAGAGCCGACACGGCUGGCGGGGGAGGCGGUGGAGGCGGACAAGCGAGGACGUUUCUGGAGAGGAGAAGGGAGGGGAGGGGAGGGGAUAGGGGGAGGGGGAGGAGGAGGAGGGAGUGGAGCGGCGGGAAAGAUCCCUCUGACUGCCCCUGAGGCCCUGGAGGAAGGACACUGGUGAGCCCCGCAGGACACUGAAAUGUGCGCCGAAAGGACGCCUGAUGGAAGACUAGGAUGGGAAAAGGAAAUGAGAGCCGAUGGCAGGGCGUGGUGGCGCAAGCCUGUGGUCCCAGUAAUUUGGGAGGCUAAGGCGGGAGAAUCGCUUGAGCCCGGGAGGUCGAGGCUGCAGUGAUCCGUGACUGCUCCAUUGCGUCCAGCCUGGGCGACAGAGCGAGGCGCUGUCUCAAAAAAUAAAAUAAGGAAAGUAGUACACUGAAGGCCGGGCGCGGUGGCUCACGCCUGUAAUCCCACCACUUUGGGAGGCCGAGGCGGACGGAUCAGGCGGUCGGGAAAUCGAGACCAUCCUGGCCAACAUAGUGAAACCCCUACUAAAAUACAAAAAAAUUAGCCAGGCGUGGUGGCGCGCGCUUGUAGUCCCAGCCACUCGGGUGGCUGAGGCAGGGGAAUCGCUUGAACCCGGGAGGCGGAGCUUGCGUGAGCCGAGAUCGCGCCACUGCACUCCAGCCUAGCGACAGAGCGAGACUACGUCUCAAAGAAAAAAAAAAAAAAAAGGUACACUGAGUACUCCGGAGACCGCCUAAAGGGGUCUCAGAGCAGGGCGUUAGGAGGGAUUUGUCAGGUUGAAGUUGCUCAGGUGAUAAAUUCCGUGGUGUGAGAAGCCCCCAAACCUCAGAAUGUAACUCAGACCCAGGUCGAGGGCAAGAUUUUCAGUCACAGAGCACCUGAACACACAGAUUUGGUGGCUAAUGGCUAAGCCAGGGACAGAUUUUCUUUCUUUUCUUUUUUUUUUUGAUGUAUUGUAGGGCUAAUAAUUGUAACCAUUUUAUUUUGGUGGAUCUUCUUCAUGAAGAGAUGAUGUCAAGGCACUCAUCACAGGUUAAGCUGAACAUUGUUACUAUUGUUAUUAUUUCCAGACUGAGUAUCGCCCUGUCAUUCAGGCGGGAGUGCAGUGGUACAAUCACGGCUCACUGCAGCCUCGACCUCCUGGGCUCAAGCGAUCCUCCUGCCUCAACCUCCUGAGUAGCACCACCACUCUCGGCUAAAUUUUGUAUUUUUUGUAGAGGCGAGGUUUCGCUGUGUUGCCCGGGCUGGUCGGGAACUCCUGGACUCAAGCCAUCCGCCCACCUACGCCUCCCAGAGUGUUGGGAUUACUGGAUUGAGCCACGCAUCUGGCUGAACGUUAUUUUUUAAAUCACCAGAGAAAGUAAAGGAGUGCUCAAAAUAGUGUCAGAUGAUGAGUGGGAUGAUUGUGAUGAAGGAAGGAGUUUGUUAAAAGAAAAAGCUAGUUCCAAGAAAGAGAAUGGAAAGAGUAAAGCAGGAGCUGUCAGAAUAGGUAAAAAUGUCCAAAGAGAAAACUGCAUAAUUUGAGGCAAAAUUACAGAAAAUAGUUCCUGCAAAAAUCAGAUAGGUAUUCAGCAUCAUAGGAAAGGGGCGAAAAUCAGAUAGGUAGGUAUUCUUAAGAAGUUGUGGCCGGCCGGGCGCGGUGGCUCGCGCCUGUAAUCCCAAGACUUUGGGAGGCCGAGGUGGGUGGAUCACCUGAGGUUAGGCGUUUGAGACCAGCCUGGGCAACAUGGCGAAACCCUGUCUCUACUAAAAAUACAAAAAAAAAUUAGCCGGGCGUGUUGGCGCGUACCUGUAGUCCCAUCUACCCUGGAGGCUGAGGCAGGAGAAUCGCUUGAAUCCAGGAGGUGAUGGUUGCAGUGAGCCGAGAUUGCACCAUUGCCCUCCAGCCUGGGUAACAAGAGCGAAACUCUGUCUCAAAAAAAAAAAAAAAGUCAUACAGUGACUGCAUCACAGCUCAUGCUGUAGAAAGAUGUUUCUGGAGAGAAAAAUUCAAGUAGCCAAUUUAAAUCGAAUAUUAGGAAAAUUAAACCAAAAGGGCUCACGCCUGUAAUCCUAGCACUUUGGGAAGCCGAGUCAGGCGGAUUACCUGAGGUCAGGAGUUCAAGACCAUCCUGGCCAACAUGGUGAAACCCUGUCUCUACUAAAAAUACAAAAAUUAGCCGGGCGUGGUGGCACAUGCCUGUAAUCUCAGCUACUCAGGAGGGUGAGGCAGGAGAAUUGCUUGAGCCCAGGAGAUGGAGGUUGCAGUGAGCCAAGAUUUUGCCACUGCACUCUAGCCUGGCCGACAGAGCAAGACUCUGUCUCAAAAAAAAAAAAAGAAAGAAAAUUAAACCAAAAGACUAGUAAUGCUUCAGAAAUUAGGGACUGUUAAACCAGCUGCAAGAAGAUAUAUUCAUGCAAUCUUUGUAUUAAGAGUCUCUCUGGCUGGGUGCGGUGACUCAGACCUGUAAUCCCAGCACUUUGGGAGGCCAAGGCCAGUGGAUUGCUUGAGCCCUGGAGUUCAAGACCAGCCUGGGGAACAUAGUGAGACCCAGUCUGUAUUUUAAAAGUUAAAAAAAAAAAAAAGCCUCUAAGCUAAGUGGACCUUUGAUCCCCUCACUCAAAUUUGACAGUUCUCCAUUAUUCAUAAAUGAGGUAAUAGUUGUUGGAGACGGUCUUCUCUGAAUGCAAGACUAGUACUUUGGCCUGAUUAUAGAACUUCCUGCCGUCCUAAGGAGUCAUCCCAGGUGUCCACUAUAUCUUUUUCAGCAUUGAGUACCAGCACAGUCACAUGUAGGCUUUAUCCCACAGUGAAGACUUGGCAUCACUCAGAAUGAUGCCACAGGUCCUAGGCCUUUUCCACACUGGGCUCACUUCACCAACUCGCAAAUGCUCAUCCACACCUGGUCCACCUGGACUACCUCCUUAUCUGUAGCCCUUUCACCUCUGUGUCCAUAGAAAUGUCUUACCUAAGCUCUGAAAUCUAAACAUUCAGAGAGCACCUUGAUGCUUGAGAGCAUCUACACAGAGAUGAACCUUUAAGAUCUAUGGUUUAAAACAAUUGAAUUCCAAGAUGUUGCCCCUUACAGACUGACCUGCCUGAUUAUUUCCUGUUGUUUAUGUACAUUGAUUAUUAUCAAAAACUUAAUACUUUAUUUUUUUUGAGACGGAGUCUCGCUCUGUCGCCCAGGCUGGAGUGCAGUGGUGCGAUCUCAGCUCACUGCAAGCUUCUCCUCCCGGGUUCACGCCAUGCUCCUGCCUCAGCCUCCCGAGUAGCUGGGACUACAGGCGCCCACCACGGCGCCUGGCAAAUUUUUUUUUAUUUUUAGCAGAGACAGGUUUUCACCGUGUUAGCCAGGAUGGUGUCAAUCUCCUGACCUCGUGAUCCGCCCGCCUCGGCCUCCCAAAGUGCUGGGAUUACAGGCGUGAGCCACCGCGCCCAGCCAAAAACUUAAUAGUUUUUAAUAAAUAUUGUCAGGUUUUUUUUUUUUUUUUUUUUUGAGACGGAGUUUUGCUCUUGUCACCCAGGCUGGAAUGCAAUGGCACGAUCUUGGCUCACCGCACCCUCCACCUCCCAGGUUCAAGCGAUUCUCCUGCCUCAGCCUCCCGAGUAGCUGGGAUUAGAGGUGCCCACCACCAGGCCCGGCUAAUUUUUGUAUUUUUAGUAGACACGGGGUUUCGCCUUGUUGGCCAGGCUAGCCUUGAACUCCUGACCUCAUGAUCCACCCGCCUCCGCCUCUCAAAGUGCUGGGAUUACAGGCGUGAGCCACCGCGCCUGGCCAAUAUUGUCAGUUUUAAAAAAUAAGUUCCCCUCUAGACACUACUUAUCCAUACAAUUGGUUACAGGUUUGGAGCGUUACAGAGGUUUUUAAAUCUUCUACUCAGUAGUUCUUGAAAAAUCACCUUACCUAUUAAGCUGAGAUUCCCCCUUCCCGCAAGACGGUGCCAUUAAGUAGGCAGGGAUCACCAAGGUUCAGAGAUGUCUCUUGCUCAAAAAUCAUAGUAUCUGUUAAAUAGCAAUAACCGUAGCUAACACAUACUGCAUUCUCACUAUGCUUUGUGCUAUUCUACUUAAUCCCACUGAAACCUGGUAACAACCCUGCAGUAGAUACUACCACCAUUUGGCGGAAAGAAACUGAGUCACCCAGCUUCUAGAUGGCUGAGCUGGAAGUUGUAUGGAGGCUGGAGGCCCCAUCUGAUUCCAGGGUCCGUUCUCAACUACUGCAAUCUAGAUCCUAGCGAGAAACGGGCUUUUCAGGCUGUCUCCUCCCUUUCCCAUCUGAGAGGAGAAUGAAGGAAGUGAGAAAGCCAACUGACCUGUCUAGUCAGUAUAGGCCCUGUCUAAAUGUCACUUUUCUCCUUGAAGCGAGGUGCUCUAGGAGGCAGAGAUAACCCAGGUGGGAAGAGGCACAUUCGGCAGUGACAGCCUUGUCUGGUUAAUUUUCAUGACCAAUAUAGAAAAGUGCAACUUUGAGGCCGGGCACGGUGGCUCACGCCUGUAAUCCCAGCACUUCGGGAGGCCGAGGCCGGCGAAUCACGAGGUCAGGAGAUUGAGACCAUCCUGGCUAACACGGUGAAACCGUGUCUCUACUAAAAAUACAAAAAAUUAGCCAGGUGAGGUGGCGGGUGCCUGUAGUCCCAGCUACUCGGGAGGCUGAGGCAGGAGCAUGGCGUGAACCCGGGAGGCGGAACUUGCAGUGAGCCGAGAUGGCGCCACUGCACUCCAGCCUGGGCGACAGCGAGACUCCGUCUCAAAAAAAAAAAAAAAAGAAAGAAAGAAAAGUGCAACUUUGAAGCUGCUCUGAUACUCACUGAAGUGAGCUACCACCAGGAAGGCUGGAUCCCUAGGUUAUUUGCAAUUCUUUCAGAGAACUUGACAGUUCUUUCAAAUAGCACUUUUUACUGUGUAUUAAAUAGUGAAAGAAGGAUUAUGGGAUACCUGAGCUUGCUGGUUACUUGCUUGAAUUGGUUUCUUUGCCCAAUAAAGGACCACAGCUUGAUUAGGUGGUAGUGGCCAGUGUUGGUGGAGUGGCUGCCCUUACUUUGCCCAUUUCCCCAGCAGGCCAAGCAAGCAACUGAGGGACUCACUUGGAUGUUAGUAAGCUAAGUUCUAGCUCUUUCUUCACCCUUUUAUUUUAUUUUUUUGAGGCGGAGUCUCACCCUGUCGCCCAGGCUAGAGUGCAGUGGCACGAUCUGGGCUCACUGCAAACUCUGCCUGCCAGGUUCAAGCAAUUUUUGGAUAAUUUUUGUAUUUUUAUUUAUUUACUUUUAUUUUAUUUAUUUAUUUUUGAGACGGAGUUUCCCUCUUCUACCCCAGGCUGGAGUACAAUGGUGUGAUCUGGGCUCACUGCAACCUCCUCCUCCUGGGUUCAAGCGAUUCUUUUGCCUCAGCCUCCUGAGCAGCUGAGAUCACAGGCACCCACCACCAUGCCCAGCUAAAGUUUUUUUUUUUUUGGUAUUUUUAAUAGAGAUGGGGUUUCGCCAUGUUGGCCAGGGUUGUUUCGAACUCCUGACCUCAGGUGAUCCGCCUGCCUCGGCCUCCAAAGCGCUGGGAUUACAGGCAUGAGCUACUGCGCCCAGCCAAUUUUUGUAUUUUUAGUAGGGACAGGUUUUCACCAUGUUGGCCAUACUGGUCUGGAACUCCCGACCUCAAGUGAUCUGCCUGCCUUGGCCUCCCAAAGUGCUGGGAUUAUAGGCAGGCAUGAGCCACCACACCUGGCCAGCUCUUUUUUCAUUCUAAGUCAUCAUCUUUUAGUCUGAUCAUGAGUUUUCCUACCAAAAACUGUGUACAGUUAGAUGCCUUCAGCUCUAUGGAGCCUCAGAAGAGUCAGAAAACUUCAUUUGGAUCAAAAUGUGCAAGGGACAGGACAGCAUGCACCUUCUCUUUCUCUCUGCCUUUCUUUUUCUCCUAUUAACUUACAUUUAAAAAAAAAUUAUGGAAUAUUUGAAACAUACAGAAAAUUAUAGAUAUAUAACAAAUUUAACAGACAUUUUGCUCUUUUAUUGUUUUUGGACAAAAGAUAACAGAUAGGCCAGGUGUGGUGGCUCACACCUGUAAUCCCAGCACUUUGGGAGGCCGAGGCGGGCAGAUCACAAGUUCAGGAGUUCGAGAACAGCCUGGCCAACAUGGUGAAACCCCAUCUCUACAAAAAAUACAAAAAUUAGCCAGGUGUGGUGGCAUGUGCCUGUGCCUGUAAUCCUAGCUUUCGGGAGACUGAGGGAGAAGAAUCACUUGAACCGGGGAGGUGGAGGUUGCAGUGAGAUUGUACUCCAGCCUGGGCAACAGAGCAAGACUGUCUCAAAAAAAAAAAAAAAAAAAAAGAUUAUAGAUAAACCAGUGCUCUGAGGUGCUUUUCGGCUCUUUAAAAAGCAUUACUGGGCCAGGCGCGGUGGCUCAUGCUUGUAAUCUCAGUGCUUUUGCAGGCUGAGGUGGGCGGGAUCACCUGAGGUCAGAAGUUCGAGAUAAGCCUAACCAACACGGAGAAACCAUGUCUGUACUAAAAAUACAGAAUUAGGCGGGCGUGGUAGCACAUGCCUGUAAUCCCAGCUACUUGAGAGGCUGAGACAGGAGAAUCACUUGAACCCGGGAGGUGGAGGUUGUGCUGAGUGGAGAUCACACCACUGCCCUCCAGCCUGGGAAACAAGAGCGAAACUCCAUCUCAAAAAAAAAAAAAAAAAAAAAAUUGCGAGGCGCGGUAGCUCACGCCUGUAAUCCCAACACUUUGGGAGGCCAAGGCGGGCGGAUCACCAGAGAUCGGGAGUUCGAGACCAGCCUGACCAACAUGGAGAAACCCCGUCUCUACUAAAAAUACAAAAUUAACCAGGCAUGGUGGCACAUGCCUGUAAUCCCAGCUACUAGGGAGGCUGAGGCAGGAGAAUCGCUUGAACCCAGGAGGCGCAGGUUGCGGUGAGCCGAGAUCGUGCCAUUGCACUCCAGCCUGGGCAAGAAGAGUGAAACUCUCAAACAAAAAAAAAAGCAUUACUGGCCAGGCGUCGCAGCGGCUCAUGCCUGUAAUCCCAACACUUUGGAAGGCCGAGGCUGGCGGAUCACAAGGACAGGUGUUGGAGACCAGCCUGACCAACAUGGUGAAACCGGUCUCUACUAAAAAUAGAAAAAUUAGCUGGGCGUGGUGGUGGACGCCUGUAAUCCCAGCUACUCAGGGGGCUGAGGCAGGAGAAUCGCUUGAACCCGGGAGGCGGAGUUUGCAGUGAGCCGAGAUUGAGCCACUGCACACUCCAGCCUGGGCAACAAGAGCGAGACUCAGUCUCAGAAAAAAUAAAUAAAUAAUAAAAUAAAAAGCAGGCCGGGUGCGAUGGUUCACACCUAUAACACCAGCACUUUGGGAGGCCGAGGUGGGCGGAUCACGAGGUCAGGAAUUCGCCACCAGCCUGGCCAACAUGGUGAAACCCCGUCUCUACUAUAAAUACAAAAAUUAGUGGCUGGGGGCAGUGGCUCAUGCCUGUAAUCCCAGCACUUUGAGAGGCUGAGGCGGGAGGAUCACGAAAUCAGGAGAUCGAGACCAUCCUGGCUAACACAGUGAAACCCCGUCUCUACUAAAAAUACAAAAAAAAAAAAAAAAAUUAGCCGGGCGCAGUGGCAGGCGCCUGUAGUCCCAGCUACUCAGGAGGCUGAGGCAGGAGAAUGGCGUGAACCCGGGAGGCGGAGCUUGCGGUGAGC
rnacentral:lncRNA from 10 species